rnacentral:rRNA from 1 species
ACGUAGGGUGCGAGCGUUAAUCGGAAUUACUGGGCGUAAAGCGUGCGCAGGCGGUUAUGUAAGACAGGUGUGAAAUCCCCGGGCUUAACCUGGGAACUGUAUUUGUGACUGCAUAGCUAGAGUACGGUAGAGGGGGAUGGAAUUCCGCGUGUAGCAGUGAAAUGCGUAGAUAUGCGGAGGAACACCGAUGGCGAAGGCAAUCCCCUGGACCUGUACUGACGCUCAUGCACAAAAGCGUGGGGAGCAAACAGGA